AUUGAACGCUGGCGGAAUGCUUUACACAUGCAAGUCGAACGGCAGCACGGACUUCGGUCUGGUGGCGAGUGGCGAACGGGUGAGUAAUGUAUCGGAACGUGCCCAGUCGUGGGGGAUAACGUAGUGAAAAUUACGCUAAUACCGCAUACGAUCUAUGGAUGAAAGCGGGGGAUCGCAAGACCUCGCGCGAUUGGAGCGGCCGAUAUCAGAUUAGGUAGUUGGUGGGGUAAAGGCCCACCAAGCCAACGAUCUGUAGCUGGUCUGAGAGGACGACCAGCCACACUGGAACUGGGACACGGUCCAGACUCCGACGGGAGGCAGCAGUGGGGAAUUUUGGACAAUGGGCGAAAGCCUGAUCCAGCCAUUCCGCGUGCAGGAUGAAGGCCCUCGGGUUGUAAACUGCUUUUGUACAGAACGAAAAGGUUUCUACUAAUACUAGGAGCUCAUGACGGUACUGUAAGAAUAAGCACCGGCUAACUACGUGCCAGCCGCCGCGGUAA
rnacentral:rRNA from 1 species